CCAUGAAAAGCUACAUACUAGUGCUAUGAAGAAAAACUUUGCCCGUGAUAUUCUGUGGCCAUCAUCUUUCUCAUGCAAAGCCCUGCAUACCAACAAUUUUUGCAUGUAUCAAGCCUAUAAUUUGGACGCUACCUUAUGGACCACAGAUUUUUGCAGUAUGAAAACAAGCUGGAAUGUUUGACAUCAACGUAUUGGCUAAUUGCUAGUAUUGAAGUCAACUGUGUGGAAGUCUGAUAAGCAUAUGGCCCAACUCAAUGUUCUUGCAUUAAUUAAUUGGAUAUAUAUCUAUAUGCAUGUCACUCUCCUCAAUGUAUGCCUCCAUACGAGGAAGUUAAUGAAAUUGAUUCCGCUAUUUCAAUUGAUUAAUUUUAUGGAUUUCUAUUCAUAGUUGAUGCAUGAUUAUCUCUAUUGUCAACUCAAUAAUGCUAUUGUUAUUGUUAUUUUAAUCACUGGAAAUCAAAUGAUACUUCAAAGUUUACACACUCACACACUACACUUAUUACUUGCUAGAUCAAGUGGUACCAAUUAAACGAUAUUGUUAUAUACUAGUAGAGUAUAGAUAAGAUAAACUUACACGUCCAUGGAAUAAAUUAAACAUUUGAGUGAAUUCACAAUUACUAUACCUAA